UCUUUGUUGGGGGUAAGGGAACUUCCGGUCGGUGCAGCGCUGGCUUCCUCCGAUCUGAGUUUUUGACCUUCUCUGAGGAGCUUACAUUUCUGGCAAGGCAGGUCUACUGGCAACAAAUUCCAUCAACUUUUGUUUGUCUAAGAUAGUCUACUGCUCCUUCACUUUUGAAGAAUAAUUUCCAUGGACACAGAAUUAUAGGCUGGUGGUUCUUCUCUCUCAACUGUCUUCUUGCUUGCAUGGUUUCUGAAGAGAGGUCUGAUAUAUUUCUUAUCCUUGCUCUUCUACAGAAUUGCCAGCUGCAAUGCCAUUUGCUCCUUUUCUUCAUGAAUCUUCUCUCUUGCUGCUCUUUCUGCAUGAAAGUCAGAACAAUAAACCUCCAUCUGUUAGAGGAAAAAAAGAGACAGAAGUUACCACCCAGACAAAUGUGGAUUCUCUACAGCUCACCUGCUGAUAAGGUGAAGAGGUAGUGCUGCAUCCUGUGACAUUGUCUUGCAAAUAACAGAUUGGCAAACAUUUAAAAGAGUGAUGCAAGGAUGUGGGGAAAUAGGAGCUCUCAUCUACUUCGGGUCAGUCACAUAAAUUUGUCAGGACAUACUGGAAGAAGAAGGACUAUCUCUUGUCAGGACAUACUGGAAGAAAAAGGACUAUCUCUUUGGUCAUAAAAGGAACCAGGCGCAGAGACAGGGAUUCACCUAUAAGCUAUUACCAAAGGAUGGCAUUCCCGAAGGCCCAGCGUGAAUGAAGAAACAUGGGGCCAGUGUUGCUCACCUUUCAGCUGAUGGUUCUCAAUUAGAAGCUCUCUCAUCUGCUGCAGCAGCUCAUGCGGGGUGAACGUGUCCAGGUUCGGGUGAGCCAGACUGGGGGGUCCAUUUCCUGUGGUUUCGUUGGGGCUGUCCCCCUUUUCAGUCAGGCAGCUAACUGGUUGGUGAGACAUGGCAGCAGUUCCUAUGGAAAAGUCACAAACCAAAAAUAUAACUGUUCCCCUCUGCAUGGCGUCCUCACGAGUCCCACAAGCCCAUGUGCAAGUGCUAAUAAGUAUUCUACAAGGUGCUUU